GGUUGUUGAGGUUUCAACUUCCAAGACUGGAAAGCACGGUCAUGCUAAGUGUCACUUUGUAGGAAUUGACAUCUUCAAUGGCAAGAAGCUUGAGGAUAUUGUUCCCUCUUCCCACAACUGUGAUGUAUUGAUUUAUGCUUCUUUGAGUGCAUUUAACUUUAUAAUUUUUUACUUCUUUUAAAUAAAUAAAUAAAAUUCGCGUUAGGUUAAUGUGUUUUAUUUCACUUUAUAGGUUCCUCAUGUCACUCGCACUGACUACCAGCUGAUUGAUAUCUCUGAGGAUGGAUUUGUAUGUUCUUACUUUGUUUUGUCAUGUUCAUUUUACUUGUCUUUUUUGCUGUAAAUGCGAUUAGUUAAUUUCUGGUACUCUAAUAAAUUGCAGGUUAGCCUGCUGACUGAGAAUGGCAAUACCAAGGAUGACCUGAGACUUCCAACUGAUGAAAAUCUGCUUUCACAGGUUAGUUGACUGAUUUCCAUUUUUACAAGGAACCCCAUGUUGCAGUGUGUUAUAAUUUUAGUGUUGUUAUGGUUUGGAGGUAUGAGAUAAAAAUUGGUAUGCUGUGUUCUAUUACUAGUCCAAUCUGUCAUAUUAAAAGUUGAAUCUUGUUUGAUCAUAAUGGCAACCUUACAAAUUUUUCCAUUGUUGAAUUUGAAGUUUUAGAAGCUUGGAUCGUCAGGUUUUGAUUAUUGACAAUUGAGACUUAUAUGAGCAGUUGCUGCUUGUGAUGCCUUUCUUCAGGAUAAUGAUAAAGUAAAUUUUUGCAUGAAUUUUUGCUCAUAUCCAAAUAUUUAUGUGAUUUUUCAAUUGCAAUUAUAGAGUUCCAUCUUUCCGCUAUCUUAUUGAAAGUAGUAAUCUACGUAAUUAUAAUGUUUAUUUUGAUUUUUUUUUUGUUUCUUUAAUUUUAAUUUUUCUUUUUUACAGAUCAAGGAUGGAUUUGAGAGUGGGAAAGAUCUGGUUGUCUCAGUUCAGUGUGCUAUGGGAGAGGAGCAGAUCAAUGCCCUGAAGGACAUUGGCCCCAAGUAAAAGACUUUUUGCUUGAUCGAGAAUGCAGAUUGCUGAAAGCUGUGGGAAGGUGGAUAGUAGUGUAGCUUACUGGUGUCCGGUUUCAAGAUGAAUGUCAUCAUUUCAUAUAAAAUGACUCUUACCAUAUUAUUAAUUGUUUUCUAUCGACAAUAUUUUUAUUCUGUUUGAUUGCUUGAAAGUUGAAACAUGGUUGUUCUCGGUGUGCAGAAGUUGUAUCCGCCAACGUGACUGUAUAUACA
rnacentral:lncRNA from 1 species